AUGCACGCUGGCGGCGUGCCUAAUACAUGCAAGUCGAGCGCACGGACGAGAAGCUUGCUUCUCUGAUGUUAGCGGCGGACGGGUGAGUAACACGUGGAUAACCUACCUAUAAGACUGGGAUAACUUCGGGAAACCGGAGCUAAUACCGGAUAAUAUUUUGAACCGCAUGGUUCAAAAGUGAAAGACGGUCUUGCUGUCACUUAUAGAUGGAUCCGCGCUGCGUUAGCUAGUUGGUAAGGUAACGGCUUACCAAGGCAACGAUGCAUAGCCGACCUGAGAGGGUGAUCGGCCACACUGGAACUGAGACACGGUCCAGACUCCUACGGGAGGCAGCAGUAGGGAAUCUUCCGCAAUGGGCGAAAGCCUGACGGAGCAACGCCGCGUGAGUGAUGAAGGUCUUCGGAUCGUAAAACUCUGUUAUUAGGGAAGAACAUAUGUGUAAGUAACUGUGCACAUCUUGACGGUACCUAAUCAGAAAGCCACGGCUAACUACGUG
rnacentral:rRNA from 1 species